UGUGACUUGUGUACCGUUGCUAGCUCAGACAACCUGUAAACAAGUUAAAAGCCUGUCACGUAUCACCUGUUGCUGUGAAUGACCAGUCGAUCUUGGGUACCACAGCGGCUAUGUCUACUGUUUUCAUUCAUAUUGGUCAAUGUGGAAAUCAACUGAGUGUUCCUUUGUGGCAAAAUUUCCAUUCUGGUACUCAGGAUGGACAGAGUAAUUAUGUGUUUUCUUCACUUGAUGGCUUCCACCGGAGUAUUCACAUAGACAGUGAGCCCAAAGUUGUGAAUACCUUGCCCAAAAUAUUUAGAGUAAGAGAUGGCAAUGUUGUUGUGGGGAAACGUGGGAGAGGAACAAAUUUUGCUUUGGGAUACCAUGGCCUUAAGACAGCAGGGGAUGACCAUGUCCUUGAGAACAGUAUGGAUGCCAUCAGGCGAGAAGUUGAACGAUGCGACUCAUAUUCUGGAUCUGUUGUUGUACACAGUUUGAGUGGAGGUACUGGGUCCGGACUUGGUUCACACAUAAUUGAACACUUGAGAGAUAGUUUCCCCUGUAAUCAUAUCAUGUCUUGUUGUGUGGCUCCUUGCUCUAGCGGAGAAAGCCCAUUACAGAGCUACAAUGCUUUACUGACUCUUAACUGGCUGCAAACUUAUUGUGAUUCAGUUAUUUUGCUACAGAACGAUGCUCUUGUUGCAUUUGCAAAUCGAGCAAAGAAAGAUGGUACUAUUCCUCAAGUUUCUUUUAAGGACAUUAACAAGGUUGCAGCAAACCGUUUAAGCGGCCUUUUUAUGCCAACUGAUACACUUUUAACCUCAAAAGGGUUUUGCUCUGGCCAAGAACCAUGGGAACUUGUUAGAACUUUAACCCCAGUGCCCUCUAUGAAGUUUGCUUGCACUUCCCACUUCAGCUCCAAUAAACUCUCAUGGGAAGGCAUUACUUCCAAAGCAUUAUUGCAGUGUCCCAAAUAUAACUGUGAUGGCAAGCAAAAUGUGGCAGUCUCUGCAACAGUUGUAGCUCGAGGGGACACCUUAGGGUCUUUUAUGUCAGAUGUCAAACAUGGUUUGGAUAAAAAACUUAGAAAAGGCUUAAACUUUGUAGCAUGGAACCCAUACCCACUGGACUGUUGGACAAAGCAAGCAGCCUUGCUAGGUGCUCAAGACAACAGCUCUAGUAUGACCCUGGCUGUGAAUUCUUCAAAUAUCAAUGAAUUUCUUGAAUUAGUACUGACACGGUCCUUGGCAAAACUUGAUGUUGGAGCAUACAGCCACUGGUAUCAUCGAUAUGGAGUGUCUCAAGACCUAUUCAGUGAAAGCAUUGAAACUGUCAGGACCAUCAUCUCUGAAUAUGAAUCUUCAACUCGACUAUGAUAUCAACAACAGCUGAUUUGUAUUUUGUCCUUUGUGAGAUACCCAGUACUUUUAUGAUAAGCUUAUUGUUUUCUUGUUUUUGGAGCAGCAAAUGUCACCUUGGACUUGGAUCAUAUGACAGUGUCAUCAACAUUUAUAACAACAACUUCCCAGCACAGCAGCCCAUCAUCUGAAAGUACCUUUUCUGUCUCUGAGAGGGAGAAAGAACUUUUGAACAUCACAGGGAAAGAAAAAAUAUGCUCCAGUGUCAAUAUUUCUACCUCACAAACUGAAAGUGAAAGGCGUCAAGAGUGCAAAUUCACAGGUUCAGUAUUGGAUCGCUUGGUGUUAUUCUUACAGCAUGAAUUUCAAGAGAUAGACUGCAGCCAAAUGCAGCAGGUAUCGCAGUCAAGCAAGAACUUGUACUGCAGCGUAAAGCAGCAUCUCCACCACUGUGCGGGCACUGAUGGUGUGCUCCACUUAUCGAGAAAUCAGAGUGAAUUCCUUGACUUUGGCAGCGUUUUGAAGACAGUUCAUGUUUUGUGUGCUGUGAAUAAAACUUUUGAUCAUGAAUGUAUGCUGUCACACUUCUUCAGUGUUGAGUCUUGUAUUGGAAAAGAGGUUGGGUCUUUUCUUCAGAUGCAUGGAUCGAGAAGUUACAGUGACAUUGGUAUUUGUAGACAUACAUCAAUGGCAGCUAUGUGCAUGUACGAAGGCAUGGAACCAUGUGGUGGACUGACAGCCCAAACUCUGACCUACAUUAUUGGCGUUGAGUUGGCUCCUCCUACUUGUGUCAUCUCAUUAGCUGUCUCCUGUCUGCCAUCUUUAAGUGUCAUUGCAUUCAUUACAAGUUUUGGCAAAGCAGCUAGAAGUCUGAUUAAUUAAUGUUCAUGACGAUAAGGAGAUUGACUACUAUAUAAGUGAUUACUUCAAUAAGCUCCUGGCUCUCAUCUACCUGUUUUGAUUCCAGUGAUGUUCAGUGGGGUUUUCCUUUCCUUAAUGAAUACCAGCUUAUCUUACCUCAUCAAUUUUCUGAAAAUGAUUAAUUCUACAAUUCGGACAGACCAUCUUAAGUUAAACAAAAUACUGUGGUAAAGUAUUUAUCACUGUAGGAGUGAUUAUGUUCUGAAGGAGAAAUUUGCAGAAAUUUGCAGAUUCAUUUUAUAAAAAAAAGGAAACACAUUCUCAAAAGCUGGAUUGAAGUUUAUCGUUUAAGAGCAACAUUAUUGAAGCUUCACUCUCGAUGCCAGAGAUUUCACAUCCCUAUGGAUUGUUUUAAUAAAGUUAUAAUUUAACAAAAAA
rnacentral:misc_RNA from 1 species